GAUGAAGAACGCAGUGAAAUGCGAUAAGUAAUGCGAAUUGCAGAAUUUCCGUGAGUCAUCGAAUCUUUGAACGCACAUUGCGCCCACUGGUAUUCCGGUGGGCAUGCCUGUUCGAGCGUCAUUAUCCUCCCUCAAACCCCGGGUUUGGUGUUGGACCCAAGUUGUGUGAACAACUGGUCUCAAAGACAAUGACGGCGUCCGUGGGACCCUCGGUGCAACGAGCUUUUAGGAGCACGCGCCGAGUUGCAAGGACCUUCCGGGCCGGUCUCCUUUACUAUUUUACAAGGUUGACCUCGGAUCAGGUAGGAAUACCCGCUGAACUUAAGCAUAUCAAUAAGCGGAGGA
rnacentral:misc_RNA from 1 species